rnacentral:lncRNA from 1 species
CUAUAUAAGCCUACAUCCUCUGUGAAGCAACCAUGGAGCAUUUUAUUUCUUUUCUUUUUCCCUUACAUUUUUUUCAUCUAAGGUUCUCUAUUUAGAAUUUCUUACAAGGUUACACAUUAGUUGAGAGAAAGGAGUUCUAACUAAUUAACAGAUUUCUAGUUUGCUUUUGUUGUAGGGCUAACGGAGUUGUCGAGCUUGGUUAAUUUCUGAUGAACUGUUAACAAGAGGUUGAACUGCAGUUGGAAGGUAAAUAAAAUUGACUCUCUCUUUAACAUAAACGUAGCCCACGAAAGCAGUAACAGUCUUUCUCCUUUUGCCUUUAACCAAAUAAAAUGAGUAACAUAAAAUAUUAUUAGUAGGUUGGGGUUAGGAAGUCACAAAAAAACACACAUCGUCAUCAUUAUACCUAUGUCCUGCUUGAAUUCCGCAUUUUGAUUGAUUGAUGUGUUUUAAAAUUAAAACUCUUCAGUAAUUGAAAUAAGAAAAGAAACAAACAAAAGAAGGAAACUCAUAUCUCCGAUCCGACACUUCCAUUAUGGAUAGAUACGCGGUGCGGUGCGGCUCUUCAUCCCCUCAAUUUCCCAACUUUUUCUUUUCUUUUCUUUUCUUUUCCUUUUUGUAAUAAAAUAAAAC